AUUCCAGCUCCAAUAGCGUAUAUUUAAGUUGUUGCAGUUAAAAAGCUCGUAGUCGGACUUUGGCUGAGAACGGUCGGUCCGCCGUUAGGUGUGCACUGACUGGUCUCAGCUUCCUGGUGAGGAGGUGUGCUUCACGGCCACUUAGUCACCGUGGUUACUUUGAAAAAAUUAGAGUGUUCAAAGCGGGCUUACGCUUGAAUAUAUUAGCAUGGAAUAACACCAUAGGACUCCUGUCCUAUUUCGUUGGUCUCGGGACGGGAGUAAUGAUUAAGAGGAACAGUUGGGGGCAUUCGUAUUUCAUUGUCAGAGGUGAAAUUCUUGGAUUUAUGAAAGACGAACUUCUGCGAAAGCAUUUGCCAAGGAUGUUUUCAUCA
rnacentral:rRNA from 1 species